rnacentral:rRNA from 1 species
UACGUAGGUGGCGAGCGUUGUCCGGAAUUACUGGGCGUAAAGGGUGUGUAGGCGGAUUAUUAAGUUAGAUGUGAAAACCCCAGGCUUAACUUGGGGACUGCAUUUAAAACUGGUAGUCUAGAGUGCAGGAGAGGAAAGCGGAAUUCCUAGUGUAGCGGUGAAAUGCGUAGAUAUUAGGAAGAACAUCAGUGGCGAAGGCGGCUUUCUGGACUGUAACUGACGCUGAGGCACGAAAGCGUGGGGAGCAAAC